rnacentral:rRNA from 1 species
GAAGCUGUGAAUGGCUCAUUAUAUCAGUUAUAGUUUAUUUGAUAGUCCCUUACUACAUGGAUAACCGUAGUAAUUCUAGAGCUAAUACAUGCACAAAGUCCCAACUGCCUCGGCGGACGGGAUGUAUUUAUUAGAUGAAACCAACCCGGCUUGCCGGUACCUGGUGAAUCAUAAUAACUGAGCGAAUCGUAUGGCCUUGCGCUGACGAUGGUUCAUUCAAGUUUCUGCCCUAUCAGCUUUCGAUGGUAGGGUAUUGGCCUACCAUGGCGUUAACGGGUAACGGAGAAUUAGGGUUCGAUUCCGGAGAGGGAGCCUGAGAAACGGCUACCACAUCCAAGGAAGGCAGCAGGCGCGUAAAUUACCCAAUCCUAACACAGGGAGGUAGUGACAAUAAAUAACGAUACGGAACUUUCGAGUUUUGUAAUUGGAAUGAGAACAAUUUAAAUCCCUUAACGAGGAUCAAUUGGAGGGCAAGUCUGGU